AGAUGCCUUAAAGUGUUCGGAUGUUUUCUAGACAUUUUUUUCAAGUUAGUUUUCAACACCUGACCAGACAGAGGAAAUGAUUUGGAAAUGACCCAGAUUGCAAAAGUAGCAACGAGGCACGAGGCAGUGCCACUGGGGGAUUCCUACGAUGCUGACAGAGCUAGAUUCAUCCAAGCAAUAAUCAGAAGCCCUGGGAAUUCUUGGCUCACCUGCCUGAACACUGUCGUUCUCAAAGAAACAAAAGCUUCUGGAAGGAACUUCUGCCCUGGACAAACUGGGGAACAAGUGAGAUCAUGCUGGAAAGUUGCUGACAGGGAGGGAAAGGUGAAGAGGGAAAUGGUGGCCCAGAUGAUGACAUGGGUUUGGAUUCCUUCCAUGAACAAAUGAAGCAGAAGAAAGCCUGUAUAGAGGAAGGAGUGGGGAAGCCUGGAAAUUUCCAAGUUUUGUUACUUGUUUCUUUUCAAGGCAUGUCUGUCUUUUCACUCUUUAAAUUCUUGAAGCAUUUCUCUAUCCUUCAAAUAACCACUUGUUGA
rnacentral:lncRNA from 1 species